AGGCGGCGUUGUUUCCGAACCGAAGUUUAAAUUAGAUCGGAUGUCCAGUAGUGUUUGUCAAUCAUACUGUAUGAGAGUCUGUACUGUCUGAGCAAAAGUAUGUAUAAGAAGUAACACGAAUAACACAAAAUAACACAAAAAACAACAAAGUUUGCACAGAGCGCUCGUCAGCAACGCCAUCGUAGCAGCAACGCUGGAAGUGUAAUGGUAUUUGUAAUGGUAUUUGUAGUAAAAUCAUGGUGACCACGACACUUACAAUAGGAACAAAUGAAAUUUGAAGUUAAAACCCAGUAAACAGGAGAUUUACCAUGUUUUUACCAAAGUAACUGUAGUUUUACUAUGGUAUAGUAAUAGCACAAUAAUCACCAAACUAACUAUGGUUGUACCACUGUAAUGGUAGUUUUGAUGUGCUUUUAUAUGACAGAUACCUCAGUAAUCACAUUUACUGUACCAUGCUUGUAAUAUCUUUUGAUGUAAAAUCCAAAAAAUGUAAAAAUAAAUAGAUAAAUAAAAUAAAUAAAACCUUAUUUUUUCCAUCUUGCAGUUCAUUCAUAUCAGUUUGUAUCUUAAAUAUUUUACUCACAGAUCAUUAUUAACAUUCUGUAUAUAAUUCUAUUUUAUUUUCUCUCCCCUUUUUUAUUUAUUUAUUUAUUUUUUAGCUGAAAAGACGUAAUGGAAGCAGUCAGUCCAGUCGUGUUUGUGGAGAGGUAUUACUUCAGAAAUGGACAAGACAGAAAGCUGUGGAGGCACAUGUUUGCAGCGGUAGAUCUGUGAUUGCUUGCAGAUAACGCUGUCCUUCUCCAUCCUGCACAAGGACUCACCUCUUUAACUCUUUAUCCCCCCCACACAGAAAUGGUCCCUGGAUCAGUGUUUAGACUUUGCAGUGGUUUGAUUUUUGCAGAAGAUGUAACUUUGUUUUAAUUAUAAGCUUACAAUGAAUACAUUUUGACCUUCCAGCAACCCAUAUACUGUAAACAGAACCAGUAAUGAAAACACUAGUUAAAUUUUUUUUAAUUUUUUAAAAAGUUUUUUUUUUUUUUUGAUAAAACAUUGUGUUCUCUUUUUCAAGCUUCAUACAGUAAACUUUAGUUGGUGUCUUCCUAAUGCUUUUAUUAUAAAAAGCAUCAGUUCUCAUCAGGAGUUUUAGUAAAGGACACAUUCAUGCACAGCCAUCCCCUAGUUCCAGUCAUGAAGCAUUCAUGAUGCUAUUGUCAAAGGUAUAUUUUUGCAUUUUUAUGUAGCAGGUGUUUGUUUUUCCUGAACACUUUUUUUCUGUCUUCCAUUGUUUGAAUAAUCAAUGUUUAUUUAAUGCUGUGCUGAUAGAGUUUUAUA
ensembl:lncRNA